ACCCUCCCCCAGACGAGUCAACUGCGACCGCACCUUCUAGAGGAGGACUGUUUUUUGGUCAAGGGUAUGUGAGUAGCUGUGCUCCCAUGUUAGAGCCUCCAAACAUGCUCUCAGGGCAUAUUGUUUUUAAUUCAAAUC
rnacentral:sRNA from 1 species